rnacentral:rRNA from 1 species
UACGUAGGGUCCAAGCGUUGUCCGGAUUUACUGGGUUUAAAGGGUGCGUAGGCGGCUGUUUAAGUCGGUGAUGAAAUGCCGGGGCUUAACCUUAGGCGCUGUUACCGAUACUGGACGGCUGGAGAUAGAGUGAGGCAGCUGGAAUAAGUGGUGUAGCGGUGAAAUGCGUAGAGAUCACUUAGAACACCGAUUGCGUAGGCAGGUUGCUGGCUCUUAUCUGACGCUGAGGCACGAAGGCAUGGGGAUCAAACAGG